rfam:Succinatimonas hippei YIT 12066 genomic scaffold Scfld175, whole genome shotgun sequence.
UACCCCUCCUGAAUUUGUGAUUGGAAGGGGCGUAUUUAUUUCACAAAGGAGCAUUUUAAAAAUGGCAUUAAGUGUUGAAACCAAAGCUAAGAUCGUCGCUGAAUUUGCCCGUGGAGAA